GACAGAGAAUACUGGAAUUAUUUAAUAUUUAAUGUGAAGCCCUUUAGCUUCAAUCACACUUUGACAUCUUCGACUGCAUGAGGAAAUUAAAUUUUCAAUUUCUUGCUGGGUGAUCUUAUUCCAUUCUUCCUGAAGGGCAUUCCAUAAUUGCUCGGUUGUUUUAGGAUUUCUGGCUUUAGAACGUUCUCCAAGAAUAUUCCACGCAUUUUCAAUAGGAUUGAGAUCUGGGCUUUGAGCAGGCCAAUCCAUAACAAUAACCUUUUCAGCCUUGAGGAAGUUCAUGAACACCUUAGCCUUGUGACAUAGGACAUUGUCCUGCAUGAAUAUGGGGUGGUCGCUUAGUUGAAUUUCUCAGCAGAGGCAAGACAUGAUCUUUUACAAGUUGUUUAUAAACUCCUGCAUUUACCUUUCCGUGUAAUCGCACCAAAGAGCCCACACCAUCUCCAGAUAUCAUCCCCCAAACCAUGACACUUCCUCCACCGAAUUUAACACUAGUCUUAAGGAAUUUAGGCGACAAUUUUUCACCUACUUUUCAACGAACGUACCUUUUCCCGUCUGAGCCAAAUAGCAUAAACUUAGAUUCAUCACUGAAAUGCACCGUUUGCCAUUUUUUUUGAGACCAAAACACAUGCUCGGUUGCAAAGGUAAGAUGACACUUUUUAUUCUUGGAGCUUAUCAGUGGCUUCACUGCAGGUUAUUUUGCUUGUAAGGUCAUGUUCAACUAAACGACGAGACACAGUUUUUCGAGAUAAAGUUUUCUUCAGUACAAUGCUCAUUUCCCGAGAAACAGCAGCAGCAGUUUUAAAUCUGCCCUUUUUAACCAACUUUACCAUAGUACGAUCUUCUCUCUUGGUCGUUUUUCUUGGCCUACCUGUAGACUUUCUUGCUUCACACGAACCACAAUCAUCGUAGACCUUAAGAAUACCGUGUACAACACUUUUUGACUUGUUAACAAUCUUUGCAAUAGACCGAAUACUUAAAUUAUUCUUCUUUCGAAGCUUAAUAAUCUGCUGACGAAUUGGUAACGGAGUAAGUGCUCUUACUUGUAGGUCAUGUUCAACUAAACGACGAGACACAGUUUUUCGAGAUAAAGGUUUUUUCAGUUCAAUGCUCAUUUCCCGAGAAACAGCAGCAGCAGUUUUAAAUCUGCCCUUUUUAACCAUCUUUACCAUAGCAUGAUCUUCUCUCUUGGUCGUUUUUCUUGGCCUACCUGUAGACUUUCUUGCUUCACACGAACCACAAUCAUCGUAGACCUUAAGAAUACCGUGAACAACACUUUUUGACUUCUUAACAAGCCCUGCAAUAGACCCAAUACUUAAAUUAUCCUUCUCUCGAAGCUUAAUAAUCAGCUGACGAAUUGGUAACGGAGUAAGUGGCAUUAUAUUAACAAAGUACACUGCAGAUAGUGUUACGGCGAUCCUUCGGUGUAAGUACCGGAAGUGGCUUUGUUUACAUUUCUGAAGAUAACAGUAACCCUUUUCGC
rnacentral:lncRNA from 1 species